CUUGCUUCUCUUGAGAGCGGCGGACGGGUGAGUAAUGCCUAGGAAUCUGCCUGGUAGUGGGGGAUAACGUCCGGAAACGGACGCUAAUACCGCAUACGUCCUACGGGAGAAAGCAGGGGACCUUCGGGCCUUGCGCUAUCAGAUGAGCCUAGGUCGGAUUAGCUAGUUGGUGGGGUAAUGGCUCACCAAGGCGACGAUCCGUAACUGGUCUGAGAGGAUGAUCAGUCACACUGGAACUGAGACACGGUCCAGACUCCUACGGGAGGCAGCAGUGGGGAAUAUUGGACAAUGGGCGAAAGCCUGAUCCAGCCAUGCCGCGUGUGUGAAGAAGGUCUUCGGAUUGUAAAGCACUUUAAGUUGGGAGGAAGGGCAGUAAAUUAAUACUUUGCUGUUUUGACGUUACCGACAGAAUAAGCACCGGCUAACUCUGUGCCAGCAGCCGCGGUAAUACAGAGGGUGCAAGCGUUAAUCGGAAUUACUGGGCGUAAGCGCGCGUAGGUGGUUCGUUAAGUUGGAUGUGAAAUCCC
rnacentral:rRNA from 1 species